UACGUAGGGUGCAAGCGUUAAUCGGAAUUACUGGGCGUAAAGCGUGCGCAGGCGGUUGUGCAAGACAGAUGGGAAAUCCCCGGGCUCAACCUGGGAACUGCAUUUGUGACUGCACGGCUGGAGUGCGGCAGAGGGGGAUGGAAUUCCGCGUGUAGCAGUGAAACGCGUAGAUAUGCGGAGGAACACCGAUGGCGAAGGCAAUCCCCUGGGCCUGCACUGACGCUCAUGCACGAAAGCGUGGGGAGCAAACAGG
rnacentral:rRNA from 1 species